UACGAAGGGGGCUAGCGUUGCUCGGAAUCACUGGGCGUAAAGGGUGCGUAGGCGGGUCUUUAAGUCAGGGGUGAAAUCCUGGAGCUCAACUCCAGAACUGCCUUUGAUACUGAAGAUCUUGAGUAUGGGAGAGGUGAGUGGAACUGCGAGUGUAGAGGUGAAAUUCGUAGAUAUUCGCAAGAACACCAGUGGCGAAGGCGGCUCACUGGCCCGAUACUGACGCUGAGGCACGAAAGCGUGGGGAGCAAACAGG
rnacentral:rRNA from 1 species